GUUAACGGGGACAAGAACGGGGUCCGGAAAAGCCUGUUUAGGCUACCCGAUUUAAGCGAGGAAAAGAUUAUAUAUAUAUAUUCUUUUCCUUUUAUUUUCUUAUUUCUUUUUCGUUUUCUUUUGUCGCCGAACUCGAGCCAUCCCCCGCCUCUCUUCCCUUUUCUUCCCGACGCCGCCGCUUACUUUCUUCUCUUUGCCCUAACCGCCGGCGGCGGUUUCCUCGCCGACGCUUAAAUCCCUCGGCAACUCCUUCUCCCUCUCUUCAUUUCUUCUCUUUUGCCGACGACCUCUGCGCCCUAAUUUCUCCGUCGUCUGCCGCCGUCGAACAGAGAGCGUCGGCCACCAGGUCUGGUACCAGUCGCGGCUAUGCCCUAGUCUUCUCUUCUCGUGCAGCCACCGCCGAUCGACGCUGCCUUCCUGUGUCCUAGCCUCAGCCGCGACACCCACCCGACGGCGUCACCACCUGCGGUGCCGCUGGCCGAGCCCUAUCUCCGAUCGCCGAGCAGAGCAGGUCUCUUGCUUCUACCUUAGCUCUGUGCCCUAGUGUCCGACAUCUCCUGGAACAGCCGAGUCUUCCUCUCGCACGAAAUCAGCACAGCAGUGCCCUUUCGCCACUGUCCUUGUGCCCUAGCAUCGGUCGGCCAGCCGUCAAGUGCUAGCAGCAACUUUGACGGAUCCUAGGUCAUCACAGGCAGUAGGAGGGAAGAGCAGCUUCUCCGGGUCUCGACGGUAAGUUCUUCAGGAUUUGAGCAGCACUGAGGCAUCGAAAAAUUUGAGGUUGAUGCUGUCAGGAGGGAGUUCCAAUCGCUGGUCCCCACAGCACGUAGUGCUACUCCUC